GUGGGGAAUCUUGGACAAUGGGCGCAAGCCUGAUCCAGCCAUGCCGCGUGAGUGAAGAAGGCCUUCGGGUUGUAAAGCUCUUUUACCAGGGACGAUAAUGACGGUACCUGGAGAAUAAGCCCCGGCAAACUUCGUGCCAGCAGCCGCGGUAAUACGAAGGGGGCUAGCGUUGUUCGGAAUUACUGGGCGUAAAGCGCACGUAGGCGGAUUGUUAAGUCAGAGGUGAAAUCCCGGAGCUCAACUUCGGAACUGCCUUUGAUACUGGCAAUCUAGAGUCCGGAAGAGGUUAGUGGAAUUCCCAGUGUAGAGGUGAAAUUCGUAGAUAUUGGGAAGAACACCAGUGGCGAAGGCGGCUAACUGGUCCGGUACUGACGCUGAGGUGCGAAAGCGUGGGGAGCAAACAGGAUUAGAUACCCGGGUAGUCC
rnacentral:rRNA from 1 species